rnacentral:rRNA from 1 species
CCUACGGGAGGCAGCAGUGAGGAAUAUUGGUCAAUGGACGAGAGUCUGAACCAGCCAAGUAGCGUGAAGGAUGACUGCCCUAUGGGUUGUAAACUUCUUUUAUAAAGGAAUAAAACGAGGCACGUGUGCCUUUUUGCAUGUACUUUAUGAAUAAGGAUCGGCUAACUCCGUGCCAGCAGCCGCGGUAAUACGGAGGAUGCGAGCGUUAUCCGGAUUUAUUGGGUUUAAAGGGAGCGUAGAUGGGUUGUUAAGUCAGUUGUGAAAGGUUGCGGCUCAACCGUAAAAUUGCAAUUGAUACUGGCAGUCUUGAGUACAGUUGAGGUAGGCGGAAUUCGUGGUGUAGCGGUGAAAUGCUUAGAUAUCACGAAGAACCCCGAUUGCGAAGGCAGCUUACUAAACUGUGACUGACAUUGAUGCUCGAAAGUGUGGGUAUCAAACAGGAUUAGAUACCCCUGUAGUC